AAUGAAGACCUGCUUACAAGUUAUAGCUCUCUGUAUAUACUUUCAGUCAAUUCUUUGUAAAGACCCGGUUAGUGACUACGAUUUAGCUUGGACCUUAUUCAGUAUAGGGGAUAGUAAUCAUAACGAACGACUGGAAGCAUCAGAGAUUUCCCGAUUCUAUAAGAAGGCACUACAAUUCCCGCAAGAACUGGCUGAUUUUGUAGGAGAGAGUAUGAUUGAACGUGGGGAUAUUAACAGCGACAAUGGUUUAAGUUUUGAAGAAACAGUUAUGGCUAUGGCGAGUGUUCGACAACAAACAUAGAAAGCAUAACGAAUUGGUGGAACAACCAAACAUCGUAUUUUUAUUAAGUGAGAACCAUAACUGGUUUCAUUGUCUAGAGGAAAAAUCUAGAGUGAAAGAGAGAGAGAGAGAGAGAGAGAGAGAGAAUGGUGUGUUUUAUUGUCUAGAGGAGAGGUCUACAGAGAGACAUUUUAUUCCAGACUAUGGUUAAAUUGUUAAAAUAGCAAAAUUUUAUUUCUAUACGCAAAUUGAGAAGAAAAAAGUGUUUAAUAAUUGUGUGUUUAUGAUAACAAAUGUUUGAGUUAAGAGCUCACCAAAGACUUCUAUGUAGUUAAUAAUAUGACAUAGUUUCAUUAAUUUGUAUUGAAGGAUAUAUCUAAGGGGGACAUACAUUCGAAAUGAAAUAUACUAUAAAGUUCCGAAUCAAAUUGUAUGUUUAAUGUUUAUGUAUGAUUGUUCUAUGUAAGAUUUAAUUGAUUAUUGUUAAGUGAUAGAAUAUUUGACCAUUCCAAAAACGCUAGAUGGAGUCGCACUAGGACCAGUCAAUGAGAUAAUGGUUACCAGAUUCUAUAACAUAUACUUUAAACCAACUUAUUUUCGCGGAUACUUUAUUUCGCGUUUUGCCCUUUCUAAUCCAUUUCGCGAUUUUCAAAUUUACUUGAUGUAGAUAAAUAAGGAAAAAUCAAAGUUUUACAUAUUUGCGACGAUUUAUAUUCGCGACAUUUUUCUACUUGCGAAAGUCGCGAAAAUAAAUCGCUCGCGAAAAUUAGUUGGUUUACAUAUAUAUAUAUAUAUAUAUAAAUAUUCCUGUAACCACUAUUAUCACUUUAUGAAAUGAUAUCACGUGGCACAUCUAGCGUUUUUAAAGUAUGCUGUGGCUAAGUUGUAACUUUAUAGAUAUUUUA